UGGGUAACCUGCCUCAAAGAGGGGAAUAGCCUCCCGAAAAGGGAAGAUUAAUACCGCAUAAUAUGUUUAGGUCGCAUGACUUUAACAUCAAAGGAUUUCUUUUAGAAAUUCCACUUUGAGACGGACCCGCGGCGCAUUAGCUAGUUGGUGAGGUAACGGCUCACCAAGGCAACGAUGCGUAGCCGACCUGAGAGGGUGAUCGGCCACAUUGGAACUGAGACACGGUCCAGACUCCGUACGGGAGCAG
rnacentral:rRNA from 1 species